AUACUUGCAAGUUCUGGCAUUGGUUGCUGCAUUGAGUUCUGGAAAAUAGGAAAAGCUAUGCAUAUUGAGAUUGAUAGGAGUGGAAGAAUACCUACUUUGAGAUUCCGUGAUCGCGAUUCAUAUGCUGGAAAUAAGACAAAGGAAUACGAUGAUCUUGCGAUGAAGUAUUUGUCCUAUGUCCUUUUCUUCCUUGUUGCUUGCUCAUCUGUUUAUUCGCUCAUGUAUGAACAGCAUAAGAGCUGGUAUUCAUGGAUUCUUUCUUCACUUACAAGCUGUGUCUACAUGUUCGGCUUCAUUAUGAUGUGUCCACAGUUGUUCA
rnacentral:misc_RNA from 1 species